AACGAACGCUGGCGGCAUGCCUAACACAUGCAAGUCGAACGAGACCUUCGGGUCUAGUGGCGCACGGGUGCGUAACGCGUGGGAACCUGCCCUUAGGUUCGGAAUAACUCCCCGAGAGGGGUGCUAAUACCGGAUAAUGUCCUCGGACCAAAGAUUUAUCGCCUUUGGAUGGGCCCGCGUUGGAUUAGCUAGUUGGUAGGGUAAAAGCCUACCAAGGCGACGAUCCAUAGCUGGUCUGAGAGGAUGAUCAGCCACACUGGGACUGAGACACGGCCCAGACUCCUACGGGAGGAAGCAGUGGGGAAUAUUGGACAAUGGGCGAAAGCCUGAUCAAGCAAGGCCGCGUGAGUGAUGAAGGCCUUAGGGUUGUAAAGCUCUUUUACCCGGGAUGAUAAUGACAGUACCGGGAGAAUAAGCUCCGGCUAACUCCGUG
rnacentral:rRNA from 1 species